UACGUAGGGUGCAAGCGUUGUCCGGAAUUAUUGGGCGUAAAGAGCUCGUAGGCGGUCUGUCGCGUCUGGUGUGAAAACUCGAGGCUCAACCUCGAGCUUGCAUCGGGUACGGGCAGACUAGAGUGCGGUAGGGGAGACUGGAAUUCCUGGUGUAGCGGUGGAAUGCGCAGAUAUCAGGAGGAACACCGAUGGCGAAGGCAGGUCUCUGGGCCGCAACUGACGCUGAGGAGCGAAAGCAUGGGGAGCGAACAGG
rnacentral:rRNA from 1 species